rnacentral:rRNA from 1 species
GACGAACGCUGGCGGCGUGCUUAACACAUGCAAGUCGAACGAUGAAGCCGGAGCUUGCUCUGGUGAAUUAGUGGCGAACGGGUGAGUAACACGUGAGUAACCUGCCCUUGGCUCUGGGAUAACUGCUAGAAAUGGUAGCUAAUACCGGAUACGACCCUCGGAGGCAUCUCCAGGGGGUGGAAAGAAUUUCGGUCAAGGAUGGACUCGCGGCCUAUCAGCUAGUUGGUGAGGUAACGGCUCACCAAGGCGACGACGGGUAGGCGGCCUGAGAGGGUGACCGGCCACACUGGGACUGAGACACGGCCCAGACUCCUACGGGAGGCAGCAGUGGGGAAUAUUGCACAAUGGGCGUAAGCCUGAUGCAGCGACGCCGCGUGAGGGAUGACGGCCUUCGGGUUGUAAACCUCUUUCAGCAUCGACGAAGCGAAAGUGACGGUAGGUGCAGAAGAAGGACCGGCCAACUACGUGCCAGCCGCCGCGGUAA